UACAUAGGCCCCGAGCGUUAUCCGGAAUCACUGGGCGUAAAGAGUGCGUAGGCGGAGGGACAAGUCAGAUGUGAAAGAUACGGGCUCAACCCGUCAUUAGCAUCCGAAACUGUCCCCCUAGAAUUGGGGAGAGGUAAGCAGAACUGUAUGAGUAGGGGUGCAAUCCGUUGAUACAUACAAGAAUACCAAAAGCGAAGGCAGCUUACUGGAACCAUAUUGACGCUGAGGCACGAAAGCGUGGGGAGCGAAAAGG
rnacentral:rRNA from 1 species